rnacentral:rRNA from 1 species
CCUACGGGUGGCAGCAGUCGAGAAUCAUUCACAAUGGGGGAAACCCUGAUGGGGCGACGCCGCGUGGGGGAAUGAAGGUCUGCGGAUUGUAAACCCCUGUCAUGUGGGAGCAAAUUAAAAAGAUAGUACCACAAGAGGAAGAGACGGCUAACGCUGGGCCAGCAGCCGCGGUAAUACAGAGGGCACAAGCGUUGUUCGGAAUCACUGGGCGUAAAGCGUGCGUAGGCUGUUUCGUAAGGCGUGGGUGAAAGGCGCGGGCUCAACCCGCGGACGGCACAUGAUACUGCGAGACUAGAGUAUUGGCGGGGGAACCGGACUUCUCGGUGUAGCCGU